rnacentral:rRNA from 1 species
GACGAACGCUGGCGGCGUGCCUAAUACAUGCAAGUAGAACGCUGAAGGAGGAGCUUGCUUCUCCGGAUGAGUUGCGAACGGGUGAGUAACGCGUAGGUAACCUGCCUGGUAGCGGGGGAUAACUAUUGGAAACGAUAGCUAAUACCGCAUAACAGUAGAUAUCGCAUGAUAUCUGCUUGAAGGGUGCAAUUGCAUCACUACCAGAUGGACCUGCGUUGUAUUAGCUAGUUGGUGAGGUAACGGCUCACCAAGGCGACGAUACAUAGCCGACCUGAGAGGGUGAUCGGCCACACUGGGACUGAGACACGGCCCAGACUCCUACGGGAGGCAGCAGUAGGGAAUCUUCGGCAAUGGACGGAAGUCUGACCGAGCAACGCCGCGUGAGUGAAGAAGGUUGUCGGAUCGUAAAGCUCUGUUGUAAGAGAAGAACGAGUGUGAGAGUGGAAAGUUCACACUGUGACGGUAUCUUACCAGAAAGGGACGGCUAACUACGUG